rnacentral:lncRNA from 1 species
AGUUGAGAAGCAAUGCUGUUUCACCUCCCUGAGAGAAUUGCCUUGUUUGUGAAAUACUACAGAAAAACCUGUAUUUUCUCCAGAAAAUGAAAGGUCUUGGCCUGAGUAAAUCAAGGCAGAAAACUCACCCCCGUGAAAGCUGCAGCUCUGAGAGUGUGUGGGCAGGGCUUCAACAGAAUACCUGUGGCUGCACUUACAAAAGGCAGCCAGAAGGACCCGUCCAUUCUGGAAAGUACCUUUAGUCUGAAAGCAUUUAUUGCAGAAAAAAUAUGAGGCUUGCUGGUAGUAUUCCCAGGUGACAAAUGUGCACCCAACACCCUACAGAAAAGAAGAACCAUAAAAUAAUUAAUUAUUCCAUUGUAACUCCUGCCUGGAAAACAUCUGAAAGAAGUCACUAGAUUCAGCCCACAUUCAAGAUGAGAAAUACCAGAAGGCAGAGAACACUGAGGCUGUUUUAGAGGCUGUCAACCCCAGGGAGACAGACAGCAAAUAAGUAAGCAAAUAAAUAAAAAUGGAAGGUGAUAAUAAGUGCAAUGAAAAGAAAUGAAGCAGAGUAAAGAAUCAAGAGUAGCAGUUGAGGGGAUGCUUGGAUGUUUUCACACCACUCUGACACAUGGAUGGAAGGUUAGAAGACAACAAAGGAAUGGGCUGGGAAGGACUCCAAAAGCAGAAUCAGAGAUUAUAUCAUUCCUUGGAAAUGGAGAAAAGGAUCAAAAAAGCUGAAUAAAAGGCAAACAUGGAGGAACAGAGUUUGGAGCAAUACCCUGACUUACAUUCAGUACUGUUAAUGGCUCCAGCAUCUUGAAACAAACCAAUUUUGGAUUUUCAGCCGCUGUCCAAGAUGACGUGAACUCCAGGCUAUUGACUUUCCUCUACCUUCAAUGGAAAUUGUCAUGGAGAAUUAAGUUUUUGACAAAUCUACAGCCUAUGUGCAGGGCUUCUUCCUGGGUGUAACAAUAAGGAAUUUGGAAACUGUCUCUAGUUUUGGCCUGGAGUCACACUGCAGCUUGAGACCCUGUCAUUUCCAUCAAGCUUGAAAAUAUACAUCUUAAUAAACUGCAAUACUUCUUAAA